rnacentral:tRNA from 1 species
GGAGAUAGCUCAGUGGUAGAGUGCCUGCCUAGUGUGCACAAGGUCCUGAGUUCAAUCCCCAGUAACUCCA